AGUGAACGCUGGCGGUAGGCCCAACACAUGCAAGUCGAACGGCAGCACAGGAGAGCUUGCUCUCUGGGUGGCGAGUGGCGGACGGGUGAGGAAUACAUCGGAAUCUACUCUGUCGUGGGGGAUCACGUAGGGAAACUUACGCUAAUACCGCAUACGACCUACGGAUGAAAGCAGGGGACCUUCGGGCCUUUCCGGAUUGAAUGAGGCGAUGUCGGAUUAGCUAGGUGGCGGGGUAAAAGCCCACCAAGGCGACGAUCUGUUGCGGGUCUGAGAGGAUGAUCCGCCACACUGGAACUGAGACACGGUCCAGACUCCUACGGGAGGCAGCAGUGGGGAGUUUUGGACAAUGGGGGCAACCCUGAUCCAGCCAUGCCGCGUGAGUGAAGAAGGCCUUCGGGUUGUAAAGCUCUUUCGGCCGGGAAGAAAUCGCACGGGCUAAUACCCUGUGUGGAUGACGGUACCGGAAUAAGAAGCACCGGCUAACUACGUGCCAGCAGCCGCGGUAA
rnacentral:rRNA from 1 species